ACUAAAAAGUAUUUAAUCUUAGUACAGUUUGAACGUUAUCUGGUAGUUUUAACUCAUGCAAGUCGAUUACUAUUUUAACAAAUAUAGUCGGCGUACAGGCGAGGAAAAUAGAUAGAUACCUCAUAUACAUGCCUUUGAGGUAUAGUAUGGGAUUCGUCUUGUGUCUAGCAGAUUCUCGAUAAAAGGAUCUAUGACGGACAGGAAAGGGUGAAAGCUCCAAUUCCCGCAAUUGGUUUGAGAAUAGCCGAAGGUACGGUAAGUACACUGCAGAGGAGAAUCUUGGGCAAUGCUCGAAAGAGUGACCUAGCUAACCAGAACUUUAGUAAUAAAGUGUCGUAAGGGAGGAAAAUGACGUUACCUUACUAUAAGUCCUAUCUAAGUAUCGUGACAGCAGAUGCGGUUACACGAACUGGGCGAACGUUAAACAAAUGAAUAGGUAUUAAGGAUCCGUAGGCUGUUUUCAGAAUUGAAAACUAUGAAUCAAAUAGAGGAGAAUAGAAUGCUAGAAGUAGGGCUGAUAUCUGCUGAUCUCUAGUGGAAUACUCAAAGCGAAAGCAAUUCUCUGGCUAAUGAUUGACGAUGAGGGAUGAAAGCACGGGUAGCAAAAUGGAUUAGAUACCCAAGUAGUCCGUGCCGUAAACGAUUUACACUUUCUAUUUAGCAUAUGUUAGACAGUAAGCAAAUGCUGCAAGUGUAACACCUUGUGAGUACAGCCCCAAGGCAGAAAGCAAAAAGAUUAGAUCAUCCUAAAAACCCGGAGUGGAGCAUGUUAUUUAAUACGAUAACCCGCGUAGAAUCUUACCUCUUCUUGAAUAUAUAAAUCAUAUCGAGCUUCUGGGGAAGCGAGGGCCUCCCUCAUUCUCUAUGAUCACUCGGUCGUCAUUUAUAUACAGGUGCUGCAUGGCUGUCGACAGUUCGUGUCGUGAGACGUUAGGUUUGGUCCACAAACGGAUGUAACCCCUACUUGCUCAAAUAGAUUCAAAACGAAAUUUAUAGUAAGUGUAGUUUUCUGAUAAAGAAAACUGGAUGAAAGUUUUACUUCAGGGGAAUACGUCAAGCCCUCAUGGUCCUUGUGAAGUAUGGGCUAUAGACGUGCUACAUGAAUUCAACAAACUGAGGCAAUAUUGCAAAAUGGAGCUAAUCAGUAAAAUAGAAUAUAGUAUAGAAGGCGAUUGUAGUCUGAAAUUCGACUGCAUGAAUCAGGAAUUCCGAGUAAUCGUUGAUUAGAAUGCAACGGUGAAUGUAUACAUUUAGGAGGUACUAACCGUCCAUCACAUGCCGCUCAUUGGUCAAGUCUGUAAUCUGUUCUUUUGUCAUUGACAAUUGGACAUUCAAAGGCUUCCGGUUCGUGGGAUGAAGUUGUAGCAAGGUAGCCGUAAGGGAGCUUGCGGCUGAUUGAUAACACAC
rnacentral:rRNA from 1 species